UACGGAGAGUGCAAACGUUGCUCGGAAUCAUUGGGCGUAAAGCGCACGUAGGCGGCCCGCUAAGUCGGAUGUGAAAGCCCUGGGCUCAACCCAGGAAGUGCAUUCGAAACUGACGGGCUUGAAUGUGGAAGAGGGUCGUGGAAUUCCCGGUGUAGAGGUGAAAUUCGUAGAUAUCGGGAGGAACACCAGUGGCGAAGGCGACGACCUGGGCCAACAUUGACGCUGAGGUGCGAAAGCGUGGGGAGCAAACAGG
rnacentral:rRNA from 1 species